rfam:Pseudomonas resinovorans NBRC 106553 DNA, complete geonome.
GGCAUGUGCCUUGCGAUGACACCGCCAAGGCAAUCAAUGCCGAUUGCCCUACCCCACGACAAAGGCGCCGU